rnacentral:rRNA from 1 species
AGUGAACGCUGGCGGUAGGCCUAACACAUGCAAGUCGAACGGCAGCACAGUAAGAGCUUGCUCUUACGGGUGGCGAGUGGCGGACGAGUGAGGAAUACAUCGGAAUCUACUUUUUCGUGGGGGAUAACGUAGGGAAACUUACGCUAAUACCGCAUACGACCUACGGGUGAAAGCAGGGGAUCUUCGGACCUUGCGCGAUUGAAUGAGCCGAUGUCGGAUUAGCUAGUUGGCGGGGUAAAGGCCCACCAAGGCGACGAUCCGUAGCUGGUCUGAGAGGAUGAUCAGCCACACUGGAACUGAGACACGGUCCAGACUCCUACGGGAGGCAGCAGUGGGGAAUAUUGGACAAUGGGCGCAAGCCUGAUCCAGCCAUACCGCGUGGGUGAAGAAGGCCUUCGGGUUGUAAAGCCCUUUUGUUGGGGAAGAAAAGCAGCAGGUUAAUACCCCGCUGUUCUGACGGUACCCAAAGAAUAAGCACCGGCUAACUUCGUG